GAGUAGCUGGGACUACAGGCGCCCGCCAUCACGCCCGGCUGCUUUUUUUGUUUUAGUAGAGAGGAGGUUUCACCGUGUUAGCCAGGAUGGUCUCAAUCUCCUGACCUCGUGAUCCGCCCGCCUCGGCCUCUCAAAGUGCUGGGAUUACACGCGUGAGCCACCGCGCCUGGCCUGAAGAAAGCGGAAGAUAGAAUGGGAGUCCUAGUUGACCUUCAUAUAAUUUUUAGAAGAUGGAGCACUUCAACUUCUUCCACUCAUGAAAAGAGAGGUGACAGGUGAAGACAGAACAAGAAAACAAACCAAGAAUUUCCCCUCACCAGCCACCAGCUCUGCCAGCAACUUGAUCUUAGACUUCCCAGCCUCCGUAACGCCUCUGCUUAUAAUCUGUCAUGGAUUGGAAAACUAGAAAAAACAGUUUACAGAGUAUAACAAACUUUGGAGGAGUUAAUCGACUCUAAGUAAAAGAGUAUCUAGCACGGCUGUGGAACAAAGGAGAGACUCACAAACUGUUGAAAGAAUAAAUGAAUGAAUGAAUUCUGUUCAUGAGCUUUAAUAAAACAGCUCUGAGUAGUAACAGUGGAUCAAAUUUAGGCUUCUUGAUGCAGGCAUGGUGUAGAUUACUACUUCUGUAUUGUCCCAGGAGCUCAGCACAUUCCUGCAGAGAUGAUAGGAGCUCAUCUGAUACUUGUCAGCUUUGAAUAAACUCCAGUCCCCAAGAGAGAGAAUGAGAAUCACCGGAAUACGAAACUUCCCUGUUGGACUUCCCAACAUUCUUGAAUGCACCAAGAUAGCCUCUUGCUGUGAGAUUAAUAAAUGAAUAAAUGCCUCCAUAUUUUUCAAAUCUG
ensembl:lncRNA novel transcript